rnacentral:tRNA from 1 species
CCUCUCGUGGCGUAGAGGCAACGCGCCCUAUUUAGCAAAUAGAGUCGUGAGUUCGAUUCUCAUCGGGAAGA